CGCAGCCGCGGUAAUUCCAGCUCCAAUAGCGUAUAUUAAAGUUGUUGCAGUUAAAAAGCUCGUAGUUGAAUUUCGGGAUUGACGUGAUGGUCGUGCCUUAAGGGGUAUGAACUGUUGCUGUUGAUUUCUCACCUUCUGGAGAAACUUGAUGUCCUUAAUUGGGUGUCUUGCGGAUCCAGGACCUUUACCUUGAAAAAUUAGAGUGUUUAAAGCAGGCAUUUUGCUCGAAUACAUUAGCAUGGAAUAAUAGAAUAGGACGGCAUGGUUCUAUUUUGUUGGUUUCUAGGAUCACCGUAAUGAUUAAUAGGGAUAGUUGGGGGCAUUAGUAUUCAAUUGUCAGAGGUGAAAUUCUUGGAUUUAUUGAAGACUAACUACUGCGAAAGCAUUUGCCAAGGAUGUUUUCAUUAAUCAAGAACGAAAGUUAGGGGAUCGAAGACGAUCAGAUACCGUCGUAGUCUUAACCAUGAACUAUGCCGACUAGGAAUCAG
rnacentral:misc_RNA from 1 species